GAAUGCCGGCAAGUGGAGCGUAGCAGUGAGACGGCGGGGGAUAAGCUUCGUCGUCGAGAGGGAAACAGCCCAGAUCAUCAGCUAAGGCCCCUAAGUGGUGACUCAGUGGGAAAGGAUGUGGAGUUGCGUAGACAACCAGGAGGUUGGCUUGGAAGCAGCCAUCCUUGAAAGAGUGCGUAAUAGCUCACUGGUCAAGUGAUUCCGCGCCGAUAAUGUAGCGGGGCUUAAGUUAUCCGCCGAAGCUGUGGCAACCUGUGUGGUUGGGUAGGGGAGCGUCGUGUCAGUGGUGAAGCUGCCGGGUGACUGUGUGGUGGAGUUGAUGCGAGUGAGAAUGCAGGCAUGAGUAGCGUGUGACGGGUGGGAAUCCCGUCCGCCGAUUAUCCAAGGGUUCCAGGGUCAAGUUUGUCUGCCCUGGGUGAGUCGGGUCCUAAGGCGAGGCCGACAGGCGUAGUCGAUGGGUAACCAGUUGAUAUUCUGGUACCGGCUUGUCACCGUCCGUGUCGAGGUGUGUGAUGCUAAGCAUGUGAGCUUGUCUUGGGAGUGUUUUUGAUGCUUCUGGGGUGGGUGAGUGUGUGAACCGAUCAUGUAGUAGGCAAGCUGCGGAGGGACGCAGUGAGGUAGCUCAUCCCCGGUGAUGGUUGUCCGGGGCUAAGUGUGUGGACUGUCUGGUAGGUAAAUCCGCUGGGCGUGAAGGUUGAGGCAUGAUGGGGAGCCCAUGGUUGUGGGUGAGUGAGUGAUCCUGUACUGUCGAGAAAAGCUUCGUGAGCGAGGUGGCGGGUCCGCCCGUACCCUAAACCGACACUGGUGGAUAGGUAGAGUAUACCGAGGCGAUCGAGUGAAUCGUGGUGAAGGAACUCGGCAAAAUGCCCCCGUAACUUUGGGAUAAGGGGGACCUGAGCUGUCGUGCACCCGUGCGGUGUGGUGGCGGUGAGGGGCGCAGAGUCCAGGGGGAAACGACUGUUUACCAAAAACACAGGUCCGUGCGAAGUCGUAAGACGAUGUAUACGGACUGACUCCUGCCCGGUGCUGGAAGGUUAAGGGG
rnacentral:rRNA from 1 species